rnacentral:rRNA from 1 species
AGCGAACGCUGGCGGCAGGCCUAACACAUGCAAGUCGAACGAACUCUUCGGAGUUAGUGGCGGACGGGUGAGUAACACGUGGGAACGUGCCUUUAGGUUCGGAAUAACUCAGGGAAACUUGUGCUAAUACCGAAUGCGCCCUUCGGGGGAAAGAUUUAUCGCCUUUAGAGCGGCCCGCGUCUGAUUAGCUAGUUGGUGAGGUAAAGGCUCACCAAGGCGACGAUCAGUAGCUGGUCUGAGAGGAUGAUCAGCCACAUUGGGACUGAGACACGGCCCAAACUCCUACGGGAGGCAGCAGUGGGGAAUCUUGCGCAAUGGGCGAAAGCCUGACGCAGCCAUGCCGCGUGAAUGAUGAAGGUCUUAGGAUUGUAAAAUUCUUUCACCGGGGACGAUAAUGACGGUACCCGGAGAAGAAGCCCCGGCUAACUUCGUG